rnacentral:rRNA from 1 species
AACGAACGCUGGCGGCAUGCCUAAUACAUGCAAGUCGAACGAGAUCUUCGGAUCUAGUGGCGCACGGGUGCGUAACGCGUGGGAAUCUACCCUUGGGUUCGGAAUAACAGUUAGAAAUGACUGCUAAUACCGGAUGAUGACGUAAGUCCAAAGAUUUAUCGCCCAAGGAUGAGCCCGCGUAAGAUUAGCUAGUUGGUGAGGUAAAGGCUCACCAAGGCUACGAUCUUUAGCUGGUCUGAGAGGAUGAUCAGCCACACUGGGACUGAGACACGGCCCAGACUCCUACGGGAGGCAGCAGUAGGGAAUAUUGGACAAUGGGCGCAAGCCUGAUCCAGCCAUGCCGCGUGGGUGAAGAA